GCCGCGAUGGUUCAGUGGUUAGAACACUGGGCUCUGACCCUCGUGGUCCCGAGUUCAAUUCCCCGUCGCGGCG
rnacentral:tRNA from 1 species